AUAGAGCUGAGAGUGAGCGGAGGGAAAAAUAGUCCCUCUACAGGAGCAGAACAUCAGUUUCCAUAGUGAUUCCCGAAGAAUAGCCGGGAGACGGCGCUCGGGCUGCACCAUAUCAUUGUGGAUGAUCAUCGUCCUGUCUGGACAACAGCUGAAGGACCAGUUGUAACGACAUCAAUCAUUUUACCACAAUAUCUUCAGUUAAGGAAAUAGCCCGGCGGCAUUGAUCAGUGUUAUCGGUGCU